rnacentral:lncRNA from 1 species
CGCAUCGCGUGGGCGGGACUUCCGGUCCCUUACUCCGGCCGGCUUUUUGGAGUUGUUGGGGAUGGCUGGCGACAGGUUGAGACGGGGGUGACAGGACGGAAUAGGGGUGAAAAGAGUCCUCCUCACGGCCUGGACGCAGGCUCGCGGCUCGCCAACGCCGCCCGGGCUGCCCGACGCCGGGGCUGGGACAAGGACUGCCGGCCCGGUGUCCGCUGCGGCCGGAGUCCGAUGGCAGCGGCUGCACGCUGGGACCCGGCUCAGAGUACCAGGACCGCAGAAGUACCGCCGGAGCCAACACAGGUAUGUAGAGGGGGCCCUAAUCCCUUUCUGGCGCUCACCGCCACUCAGACGUUCUCUGGAUUGUGGUGUCCUGGGACUCUUAUGUGCCGUUUUCCCAGUGCUCAGGUCCGGAGACCCUAGAGAAAUCCCCAUGUCAGGGGUUAUAUCUUUGGGUCUGGGGACACUAGAGGAAUCCCAUCUCAGGGUUCUGACCAACGUGAACAAGUGUGUAGAGUUAACCCAGGACCAGGUACCAGGAAGUGCAAACACAUAAAGGUAAAGCUGAGUCGGGCUCUUCAGGAGCCAUGGGUCUCCUUUUCUGAUAUGAACAAAGAGCAGGUGUCAGGACAGGAAUGACUGCCUGAAAAGUUGGGUGUCUAUUCUGGAGGUACCAAGAGGUUUGGGCCAGAGGAGAGAGGUAAUUUUAGCUAGGCGGAAACAGUCUCCUUCUGACUGUAAAGUGGAGAACAGACCAUGGGAAUGAGAGAGGAGCAAUGAAAACCAGGGUGGAAGCUACUACCAUAGUCUAG